rnacentral:rRNA from 1 species
UGGGAAACGAUGUGGGAAGGCUCAGACAGCUAGGAGGUUGGCUUAGAAGCAGCCAUCCUUUAAAGAAAGCGUAAUAGCUCACUAGUCGAGUCGGCCUGCGCGGAAGAUGUAACGGGGCUCAAACUGGUCACCGAAGCUGCGGCUGCAUACUUUGUAUGCGGGGUAGGGGAGCGUUCUGUAAGCCUGCGAAGGUGUGUUGAGAAGCAUGCUGGAGGUAUCAGAAGUGCGAAUGCUGACAUGAGUAACGACAAUGCGGGUGAAAAACCCGCACGCCGGAAGACCAAGGGUUCCUGCGCAACGCUAAUCGGCGCAGGGUGAGUCGGCCCCUAAGGCGAGACCGAAAGGUGUAGUCGAUGGGAAACGGAUUAAUAUUUCCGUACCUUGGAUAGCUGCGAUGGAGAGACGGAGAAGGCUAGGUGAGCCGGGCGACGGUUGUCCCGGUUUAAGCAUGUAGGCAGUGGGAUUAGGCAAAUCCGGUCCCACAAUGCCGAGACGCGACGACGACUGCCCUUUUAGGGCGGGAAGUCAUUGAUGCCCUGCUUCCAGGAAAAUCUUCUAAGCUUCAGGCUAUUCGAGACCGUACCCCAAACCGACACAGGUGGUCAGGUAGAGAAUACCAAGGCGCUUGAGAGAACUCGGGUAAAGGAACUAGGCAAAAUGGUGCCGUAACUUCGGGAGAAGGCACGCCGGUGGUAUGUGACGCCCUUCGCGGGUUGAGCAGAAGCCGGUCGAAGAUACCAGGCCCCUGCGACUGUUUAUUAAAAACACAGCACUGUGCAAACACGAAAGUGGACGUAUACGGUGUGACGCCUGCCCGGUGCCGGAAGGUUAAUUGAUGGGGUUAGCGCUUGCGCGAAGCUCUUGAUCGAAGCCCCGGUAAACGGCGGCCGUAACUAUAACGGUCCUAAGGUAGCGAAAUUCCUUGUCGGGUAAGUUCCGACCUGCACGAAUGGCGUAACGAUGGCCACACUGUCUCCACCCGAGACUCAGUGAAAUUGAAAUUGCGGUUAAGAUGCCGUAUACCCGCGGCUAGACGGAAAGACCCCGUGAACCUUUACUAUAGCUUCACAGUGAACUUUGAGCAUGUUUGUGUAGGAUAGCUGGGAGGCUUUGAAGUGGGAACGCCAGUUCUCAUGGAGCCAACCUUGAAAUACCAGCCUGACAUGUUUGAGGUUCUAACUUGGUCCCCUUAUCGGGGAUGAGGACACUGUGUGGUGGGUAGUUUGACUGGGGCGGUCUCCUCCCAAAGCGUAACGGAGGAGCACAAAGGUGGGCUAAGCAUGGUCGGACAUCAUGCGGUUAGUGUAAUGGCACAAGCCCGCUUAACUGCGAGACAGACACGUCGAGCAGGUACGAAAGUAGGUCAUAGUGAUCCGGUGGUUCUGUAUGGAAGGGCCAUCGCUCAACGGAUAAAAGGUACUCCGGGGAUAACAGGCUGAUACCGCCCAAGAGUUCAUAUCGACGGCGGUGUUUGGCACCUCGAUGUCGGCUCAUCUCAUCCUGGGGCUGAAGCCGGUCCCAAGGGUAUGGCUGUUCGCCAUUUAAAGAGGUACGCGAGCUGGGUUUAGAACGUCGUGAGACAGUUCGGUCCCUAUCUGCCGUGGACGUUGGAGAUUUGAGGAAAGCUGCUCCUAGUACGAGAGGACCGGAGUGGACGAACCUCUGGUGUUCGGGUUGUGACGCCAGUCGCAUUGCCCGGUAGCUAUGUUCGGACAGGAUAACCGCUGAAAGCAUCUAAGCGGGAAGCCCCUUCCAAGAUGAGAUCUCCCUGGACCCUCGAGGUCCCUGAAGAGCCGUUCAAGACCAGGACGUUGAUAGGUCGGGUGUGUAAGCGCUGCGAGGCGUUGAGCUAACCGAUACUAAUUGCUCGUGCGGCUUGACUAU